rnacentral:rRNA from 1 species
AUUGAACGCUGGCGGCAUGCUUUACACAUGCAAGUCGAGCGGCAGCGCGGGGGCAACCCUGGCGGCGAGCGGCGAACGGGUGAGUAAUGCAUCGGAACGUACCCUGGAGUGGGGGGAUAACGCCGCGAAAGCGGCGCUAAUACCGCAUAUGCUCUGAGGAGGAAAGUGGGGGACCCGCAAGGGCCUCAUGCUCUGGGAGCGGCCGAUGUCCGAUUAGCUAGUUGGUGAGGUAAAGGCUUACCAAGGCGACGAUCGGUAGCUGGUCUGAGAGGAUGAUCAGCCACACUGGGACUGAGACACGGCCCAGACUCCUACGGGAGGCAGCAGUGGGGAAUUUUGGACAAUGGGGGCAACCCUGAUCCAGCCAUGCCGCGUGAGUGAAGAAGGCCU